UCUUAUGCAUGCCGGUCACUGAUUAGAUGGU
rnacentral:piRNA from 1 species